CCCCCUCUUACAGAAAAAAAAUAAGGGGCAUAUGUUUAUUCAUAUGUUUAUUUAUGUAACGUAAGCGUGUGACUUUUAAUUCGUGACGUAGUUUCAUGGGCGUGCGCCGCGCGCGGACCGGAUGGAGUUGCCAUGGAAACGGAGCGCAACACUGCAUAUGCCGCGAGGAAACAACCCGUUUCUCGCUGAUUACACUGUUUUCAGGAAUGGUUUAAUGUCUUCGAAAAAGUCUGUUAGCGUUUCUACCGUUUUCAGACGACGUAUCGUCAGAAGGGAGUGUCCAAGAUUUCAAUAUUUCUGAAGGGAGCUGCUGACAGAGAUGUAGG